rnacentral:lncRNA from 1 species
ACACAGCGCUAUGGUUGGUCACUUUUCAUUCCAUCAGCCAAUAGUGUGCCACAAUAAAUGUCACUCCUCCAUGCAGAAUUAGAUAUAUUAAAAAACAAUCCAGAGAUACAGUGAAGCCGGGAUAGGUGGACGACACAUGGUGAGGGACGGCUGUGGUUAACUACUAGGUAGUUUGGGAGAAUGUCAGAAAAGGCAUCAAGCAGAAGAGCCAAGUGAAGCGAAGCUCGAGCUGGGUCUGGAAGGAAGAGAGGGAUUUCCUGAGCUGGAGGAGGCUUUCGGAGUGGUCUGAGAACCCAGCAAGUGCCAGUUUUGCUAAGCUUGGCUGUCUGGUCCUCUAGGAAGAAAAGAAAAGAAAGGAAAAAGGUAGCUGUUCUGGGGCAGCAGCCAGUUGGGAUCAUUAGGAGUUGAAGAACAAGGAAGCUAAAGGAAAGCCACCUGUUGGGUGAUUUUCUAACACUAAGCAGACACCUUCAUUUUUAGUACAGUAUAAAAAUAUAAUGAUAUAAUAUAAAGUACUGAAAUAUUUGAAAGGAUCCUACAGUCUGUG